UAGGGAAUCUUCGGCAAUGGACGAAAGUCUGACCGAGCAACGCCGCGUGAGUGAAGAAGGUUUUCGAAUCGUAAACUCUGUUGGUAGAGAAGAACGUUGGUGAGAGUGGAAAGCUCAUCAAGUGACGGUAACUACCCAGAAAGGGACGGCUAACUACGUGCCAC
rnacentral:rRNA from 1 species